UACAGAGGGGGCAAGCGUUGUUCGGAAUUACUGGGCGUAAAGGGCGCGUAGGCGGCCUUCUAAGUCGAACGUGAAAUCCCCGGGCUCAACCCGGGAACUGCGUCCGAUACUGGAAGGCUUGAAUCCGGGAGAGGGAUGCGGAAUUCCAGGUGUAGCGGUGAAAUGCGUAGAUAUCUGGAGGAAUACCGGUGGCGAAGGCGGCAUCCUGGACCGACAUUGACGCUGAGGAGCGAAAGCCGGGGGAGCAAACGGG
rnacentral:rRNA from 1 species